UUCGAUAGUGGGCCCGAUAACGGACCGGAGACUGCACCACGCCCUCUCCUUAUCGUCAUCUCCAAUCCCCGAUCCCGGAGUAUGCGCAUGCUCAAGGCUCUCAUCGCAUGCAGUUCCUUCUCCCAGCCGCCAGCCGGAGCCCCCUUCAACGACCGGCCUUUCCCUUUGCCUUCCCCUCUUCCGACGCGCUCAUCCGAGGAGGUGCUUGAGUUUAGAGACGAUUUUGUCAUCUUCCACGGCCUUCUCCUGUGUCCUGAAGGAUGUUUGAUACCCUCUAGAGUCACAUGGGUGAGGUGUUUGAGCAUUUCCCAUCCGCUGAGAAUCAAUCUCAUACCUAUUGACGGCGGCACUUUUGCAUGAACCAACUACACCAGUCCCUCACACUUUUGCAGGUUGGUUUUGACAUGAAUAUUGAUGCUUUUGCCCAGGCACAGGACAUUCCAAUGACAUUCAUUCAUUUUGAAGCCCUUUUCGGUUAAAUGCUCAGUGUUUUAUCAGGGAUGGUUGGAGACACACCUGACCUACAUGAAUCUUAGUGGUGAAUCUGUACUAAGCGACAAAGAGGGUUCAUCUGGGAUACAAGAAAGAUUCCUUAAAAACUAUUUUCUGCAAGUAUAUGGCUUGUGUCAUCUCAUAACAAACUCUAACAAACUGGGGUCCACUUCAUGACUAUGGAGGUUAGGUGAAGUGGUAUAAAAAGGGGAAUUCUCUUCAUUGGUCAGGUAUGCUGACGCUUACAACACACAUAGUCCUCUAUUGCAAACCCUAAUUUAGAGUGAUUGUUCAUUUUCUUCCUUCUUCCUUCUUCACCACCAAGAGAAAUCACUAACUUGAGCGUCAAAGGGCCUAGCCAGGGAUUCCCACCCCAGUCUUAAGUUGCUGACAAUAGUGUUGGCUGGUCUCUUGUGCGCAGGAGGUCGUUAAAGCUCCAAAUCCUGGUAUUCUUUAGGGGAUUCUUCCUUCCGCCCUUAGGUCUUUGCACAAGGAGGUAUUCUGUGAGUUUCUUCUUCCGGAUCCGCUUUGAUUUUCUCGGAUCGGAGGUCCUCAGGUAUUCUUUUUCAUCAACAUUAAGUUCUCUCCCCAGUUUUCCAUUUUGUUAAGUUUCUCAGACAUGAUCACUGAUGUUGGUCUUUAUAGACCAACACCAAAGUGUUGGUGUUAGUCUUUAAAGAUUAGCACGUUGGAGCUAGUCCUUAAAUAUCAGCUCCACCUUGAUGCUAGUUUAUAAAAAUCAGCACCACCUUUCAUAUAGGAGAGAGAAGAGAGUUGCAUGCAAAUGAGAGAGAGAAUAAAAAAAAUUGAUUUUGAGCACGUCAGAUCGUACACGUUUGACGUCACCCACAGAUGCUCAUAUAAAGGUGUGCAGGGUAUCAUUCUUCUUUAUAUAUACACCCUACACACUCUUACCUGAUGACUGUGGGCGACAUCUAAUGUGGAUGAUCUGACACAUCCAAAACUUUUUUUUUAUUUCCCUCUCUCAUCUUCAUGUAACGUUUUUCUCUCUCCUACAUGCAAACAAUUUUUUUUCUCUCCUACAUGCAAGGUGAUGCUGGUUUGUUCAAACAAACACCAUGUUGUUGAUGCAGAUUGUACUAAAAAUCUGGUUUUGAUGUAUGACAAAUAAGUUAAAGUUAGAUGUGGUGUUUGUCUAACCUUUCUACCAAGUGUGCAAGAGUUGAUUGGUCUGAAGAACCUAACACCAGGCUAAAAUCCAGUCAGGUCCGCGGGAUCCAAUAGUUGAUGGAAGUCAAGAUAGGUCAGCAGGGCCUGAUAUCUGGAGAGAAGUCUGGUUGGGUCCGCGGUACCUGACAAUCAGUUGAAGUCCAGUUGGGCCUGCGGACCUAACAAUUGGUGGGAAAACCUGGUGGGUCAAAGGCAAGUUAAGUGAUUGCAGUUGGUGAGUGGAGGAAAGCAACUGGAGGAGUGGUGUCGGCCUUUUUGCAUGUUAUAAGGCACCCCAAAUUGAUAAAGAUUGGAAACUCACUAAAAUUAAGAUACGCGUCGUAGUAAGGAGUCCCAAGUCGUAUUUUUCCAAAGAGCACUAGUAAGUGUGUAUGAAUUCUAGAAUUGGUUUCAAUCAAAAUCUAAUUCCAACUAGGUCAAGAAUAGCAUCAAAGAGAAUUCAUUCUCAUCUAAACAUGAUCCAUUUCCUCCUCAUCAAAUAUGCCACAAUUAAAUUCAGAUUUUACGCAUCAUUUAGUCAAAUGACAAUCACUAUAUAUCCAAUUAACAAUCACAGAACUUAAGAUACAAUAAUUGAAAUAAGAAAUCAACAUUUAAAGUUUGAAACCAAACAAAUCUUGCAUGAAUCGAGCUAACAUUCAACUCUGAAUCACACUCAUAGAUCAAUAAUUCAUUCACUCCUCAAAUUUGCAUCAUUGAAACUAAUCCAUUAAUUAGCAAAACUUCAAUUCACAACCUCAAUCAAGAACGUUAACAGAGGUAUCAAUGUUAAGACUAAGUGAUUCUUUCAUCAUUUGAACUCAAUCACUAUCACAACAAAUCCAAGUUUAGAACAAAGAUUUUCUGAAUUGAAGACUAAAAACUAAAGGAAUUGCAGAAAACAUGACUGUAAUUGUAAACUAGGUUAGUAGCUAAACAGGGUUUGAAUUGCAAACAAUCAAAGAAAGCAAAUAUCAAAACUGAAACAAAAUCUGAAUUGCAAGGUAAAGGAAAUCAGAUCUGAUGAUCUGAGCUAGUUUGAGAACAAAUUAAAGACAAGAACAAGGAAAUCUAAACCGUAUCAUUCCACAAACCAAACCGAGCUUCAAACAUUCUCCUCUCUGCUGUGAAAUAACAGAAAUGCUCUCGGAACCCCUUGAGCAUUCAACAACCAAAUCCUGCUACAUCUUCAUAUCACUUACAAAUUCUGCUACAUCUUAUAUAUCAAUUGUAGAAUUCUGAAACAUGUCAUAAUUCUCUGAAUUCAGUUGACAACAUGGUUAAAUUGAAUUUUGAAAUGAUUGUGAUACAAAUUUGAUAAUUCCGUACCCAUCCCAUUAGGAAUUUCAUGAGUCACAGCCACUGAUCUAAAUUCUAAUUCAGCACAAUCUGCAAAAAUUCAAGCAAUCUAACAGUUAAUGAACAUCCACCACUCAUUCCUUUUCUAUCCUCCUCCAUUUUUUAAGUUUUGCAUAGUAACGGAGAACAAACUGAAGCAUCCUGCUCUUCUUCAAAUUCUGUAGCUUCAUCCAUCUCCGAAAUUAGAUUAAGCUGUCUCUGUGUGGCUUUCCUGCUUCCUGCUUCAGCAAUUAAUUAAAGUAUCAUUUCAAGUUUUCUUCAAAAUUUACUCUUACCACUGAUAUGUAACACUAAGAUC